UUUCUCAAACAUUUUCAUCACCAACACAUUCCCAGAUACCUUCGUAGUUCAAACCCUAAGCCAAUCGAUCAAUCCUUAAUCUAAUCGAGCAGUUUUCUGAACUAUUUUAUUACCAUUAAUUCGAUCCUUAAUCCAAUCUACUUCCGAUGCGUCUCUUGUGAAAAGAUGAUGGGAAUUUGCAGUUGAAGAAGUUUCACCAUAUGCAAUGGAUCGUAAGUUGCUCAAUUGAUCGAUUUUUUUCUAACAACCUUCUACGCAUUCAAUGAUUCAAAUAGGUAAUUUCUGAGUUGAGUUCAAACUGAUGACAUAAAUGGAAGCUUUAAUUAGUCAUCACAGAUGUACAUAUUGUAAGGAUUCUUUAUAUGUAUAAUGAAUGUCAUGCUUGUGGUUAAUUCUAAUUUAGGUUAUUAAGUGAUUUGAGUAUAUAUGUUCAUAAUGUUUAUAGUUGAAACUUUGGAGGAUUAAUUAAAGCAAGAGAGGAUUUAACUUGUUCAUAUUGCUGAUUAUAUGAUGAUAACACUGCUAGAGACUGGUGAUCAAAUAUUAAGCAUGUAAAGAAGAUUUAGGAACACAAAUUUCAAGACAUAAAAGUAUUACAGAUGAUGGUUUUAGGCUACUCGGUGUGGGGAGCGUCGUAGGCCAGUCGAGCCCCGGCGCCGUCCCUGUACAGCAUUUCCACAACCGCGGGGUCGUCCUGAUCGUCCUCCACAAGACGUUUGUGCUGGGCCUCCCCUUUUUCACACACACAUAUACAUACAACACACACACACACAUAUAUAAAGGCCCAUCCUCAAUUUCCCUUGGGCCAUCCUUGGAGGGGCAUCCUCCUUGGAUGGUGACGUGGAGGGGCAUCCUCCAAGGACUUGCCUCCUCCUACACCGAGUAGCCUUAUUAAGCUUUUGUGUUGGUCUGCAGGUUUGACAAAAGAAUAAUUGCUUUUUCAUUGUUAAUACCAAUGGACAGGUUCCUUGCAGAUUGACCCAUUUCAUUGUUAAUACCACAGGUUCCUUAGCAGCCAUAUUGAGAUGAAACUGCCACAGGUUCAUUAUAUUUUGAGCCAUUCAUAUUAGUUCUCAUCUUUUUGACCCAUUUAAUUUUAUUUCACCAUUUUGACCCGUUUUAUUUUACUUACCCGUUUUAUUUUACCUCACUAUAUUUUGACCCGUUUAAUUGUAAUUCACUAUAUUUUGGCCCGUUUAGUUUUAAUUCAAUAUAUUUUGACCCAUUUCAUAUUAGUUGUCAACUUUUUGACCCAUUUCAUUUACUUACCUGACUAUAUUUUGCCCCAUUUCAUUUACUUACCUGACUAUAUUUUGCCCCGUAUAAUUAUAAGACACAUCUUUUUUACCUUGUUCGGGUCGGGUUGACCCAUAACACUGCUUCCAAUUAGAUGAGUUGACGCUAACCAGUGUGACGGCUUUGACUUCUUAAAAAAUGAUUUUGAUUGGCGCGGUGCGGCGAGAACUCAGUCGUUAACCGGUCUUUUUUUAUAGUUGGUUACCUCUAGUUGAAAUUAUGAUGUAUAUGGUACUUUUAGUCAUAAAUCAUCAGUAGCACUAAAUCAAUUCUAAGGUAUUUUAGAUAAAAACAUGGUAUUUUAGAUAAAAACACGGAGUUCGAUUAAUUGAAUACAUGAUUGAUUAACUAAAUACCUGAUCAAGAGAUUGAAUGCAGAGAUCGUAUCAAGAGAUGAAGCUAUUAAUGGGGAGGAAUUGGCGAUCUGGGAUAUUAACCCCAAUACCCUAAUAGACUACGUAUUAGGGAUAUGAUUCACAUACAGAUAUAAUUUUAUUUUUUUAUUAGGGAUUUUAAGCAAAAGUACGUAGUUUUGAUAGGUUUGACGUGUAAGGUUAGGCACGUAACAGCACCGUAUUCACUUUCCCCUUUAUAUAUAUACACACGCAUAACUUCGGUUUCAUUAUAAAUAUGAUAUGAUGUAUACAGAAAACAAAAUAAAAAGGUAUUUGUUGUGUUUUAUGAUUGAUCUUAAAUAAACAGUGGAAGUUGAAAAUAGUAACCUAAAUUGUCAAAGCAUACCUGCUGGAGUCGUAAUCGCCUAACGAAAGCCUUCGACUUGGUUGUGGUUGUGUCAAGGGCCGCAAGCUUGAGAGCGGAGUAGUGUUGAACGCUGUUGCUUGAUGCCCUUUAGAGACGCCAAAGUUUGAAAACAAACAGUCGAUUUGUUAAACAAUUUCCCAACUAUCUUCGUAACCAACAAUGAAAGUUGAAAAGAGUAACCUAAAUUGCGCAAAUUGUACCUGGUGGAGCCCUAAUUGCCUGACAAAAGCCUUGAAUUUGGUGGUGGCUGUGUCGCCGGCGUUAAUGGAGUCGUAUGUGUGACAACCCGAACUUUCAAAGUCAGUAUCUCUUCGUCGCGUGAUCCUGUUUCUUGUAUUCCUCUUUCAUUUCCGUUC
rnacentral:lncRNA from 1 species